AUCCAAAAAAACAAUACAUACACAUUGCAAACAGCUGCGGUAUCAAAGAUAUGCAACUACCAUGAAAAGAUAGUUGACCUAAAACCAGUGUAACGUGGACUAUCUCAUAUCUAAUUACUGCUGGCAUGUAAUGAGUUGCAUGAGUUUGAAAAACUAUAAUUAUUCUUUAAAGGUUCCGAAAAUAUGUGCAGUUCAAAACGUCCUGACUACUAUAUACAACUAGACUAGAAAUACAUGCAUGCAGCAACUCCAUUUUUGAGAUCAGUGAGGAUGACCACCUAUCGUUGGUGACCCACGCCCGCGAUUAUUGAUGAACUUUAGACUUCGCUAAUGCUUUCGUUUCCCCCGUUGUAAAUAGCCGGCGGGAAUUAGUACCCUCGCAUGGCGCUUCGCACCGUCGGCUCGGGGAAAAUAUGUUGGUUUUAUUAAUAACGCAGAGAUGCUUUCGAAUUUAAGUAUUGUCCCUUAUAAUUCUGUACUUAAGUUCCAUAAAAUCGGUGACUAGAUGUGCUUACUUGACUAACAUUUAAUGUAACUCAAACCUUGUGUUUUCCUUCAUAUGGAGCAACCGCCAAUGUGUAGUAAGCGUCCUUGAACCUCUGUGAGGCCCCGGAGUCUACCUGAUCUGAAAUUAACAAAGGAUUUGCUAUAGGAGCUUCCGGGACACCGUAAUAGUCUCCUCCUAGAGCGAUGACGUCACCAAAUGUCAGACGUACUCCAUUUGGAAGGGUAAGGAGAUUCUUUUCACUAGAAUCUAUAUGAAUAAAACAAGAUAUUGGUUAAACUUGUUGGUAAAACAGGUACGAUCGUACUAUAGUGCACCAGGAACUACGUGACCGAGUUCCGAUCUUG